rnacentral:rRNA from 1 species
UACAGAGGGUGCAAGCGUUAAUCGGAAUCACUGGGCUUAAAGCGUGUGUAGGCGGACUUCUAAGUACCUUGUGAAAUCCCACGGCUCACCCGUGGAACUGCUCGGUAUACUGGUCGUCUUGAGCCUUCUAGGGGCGAGUGGAACAAAUGGUGGAGCGGUGAAAUGCGUAGAUAUCAUUUGGAACGCCAAUGGUGAAAACAACUCGCUGGGGAAGUGCUGACGCUGAGACACGAAAGCCAGGGGAGCGAACGGG